rnacentral:rRNA from 2 species
UCGACCUGAGGUCAGGCAAGAACACCCGCUGAACUUA